rnacentral:lncRNA from 1 species
UUAGAAAUGUCCCCUUUCCUACCCACACUUUUUAAAGACACAAUUGCAUUAGUGACUGCCUUUGGGAAUUUUAAAAUCCAUUCUGUGAACAAGGAGAAAUGCAGACAUGUUGGCAACACUGAUCAUUUUUGUUGUGGAUCUCAUGCUUGCUUCGGUUGUUGUGAUUAUUCUAUAUGCUGUUUGCUUAAUAGUAGCCACAGGUAUUUUUAUCUCAGUCAUUUUCUAUAUUUACACCGGAGAGAUGGAAAAACAUUGUGACUUCAACAAGGUUAGAAUUCUAGCAAUGCCGGACUCUAGCAGUGCUCCUGGGAAGAUGCUUGCUGGUCGCAUGGAGAAUGUCAGCUACGGGAUGUUUCCGGUCCAUUUUCCAGCUGUGCAAGAAGGGACCUUUCUGUCUAAGGAGAGUGAUGCUGGCUUCUACAGCACAAGGAACUCAGUACAGUGGAAGAGCCAGAGGAAGGCUUGGCAGAUCCCACCCACAACCAACCAACCAUUCUUUUUUCAGGUAGCUGGGAAAAGACACUCACUAAAAAGAACUACCAGAACUACUUCAGAAAGUGUCCAGAACAAUGGGCAGGCAAGCCAGGCCCAAGGAAGAAGAAACAGCGAGGCCAUUUGUUGA